GAACGCUAGCUACAGGCUUAACACAUGCAAGGUCGAGGGGCAGCAUGGUCUUAGCUUGCUAAGGCCGAUGGCGACCGGCGCACGGGUGAGUAACACGUAUCCAACCUGCCGUCUACUCUUGGACAGCCUUCUGAAAGGAAAGAUUAAUACAAGAUGGCAUCAUGAGUUCACAUGUUCACAUGAUUAAAGGUAUUCCGGUAGACGAUGGGGAUGCGUUCCAUUAGAUAGUAGGCGGGGGUAACGGCCCACCUAGUCUUCGAUGGAUAGGGGUUCUGAGAGGAAGGUCCCCCACAUUGGAACUGAGACACGGUCCAAACUCCUACGGGAGGCAGCAGUGAGGAAUAUUGGUCAAUGGGCGAGAGCCUGAACCAGCCAAGUAGCGUGAAGGAUGACUGCCCUAUGGGUUGUAAACUUCUUUUAUAAAGGAAUAAAGUCGGGUAUGGAUACCCGUUUGCAUGUACUUUAUGAAUAAGGAUCGGCUAACUCCGUG
rnacentral:rRNA from 1 species